rnacentral:rRNA from 1 species
AACGAACGCUGGCGGCAGGCCUAACACAUGCAAGUCGAACGGACGUAGCAAUACGUUAGUGGCUCACGGGAGAGUAACGCGUGGGAACCUACCUUUUGGUUCGGGAUAACAUCGGGCAACUGGUGCUAAUACCGGAUAAGCCCUUCGGGGGAAAGAUUUAUUGCCGAAAGAUGGGCCCGCGUUGGACUAGCUAGUUGGUGAGGUAAUGGCUCACCAAGGCAACGAUCCAUAGCUGGUCUGAGAGGAUGAUCAGCCUCACUGGGACUGAGACACGGCCCAGACUCCGACGGGAGGCAGCAGUGGGGAAUAUUGGACAAUGGGGGAAACCCUGAUCCAGCCAUGCCGCGUGAAUGAUGAAGGCCUUCUGGUUGGAAAGUUCUUUUGGUGGGGACGAUGAUGACGGUACCCACAGAAUAAGCUCCGGCUAACUUCGUGCCAGCCGCCGCCGUAA